AGCAGCCGCGGUAAUUCCAGCUCCAAUAGCGUAUAUUAAAGUUGCUGCAGUUAAAAAGCUCGUAGUUGAAUUUCGGGACUAAUAUGUCGGUCGUGCCUCGGUACGUACUGGUAUUUUGGUUUCUCCCUUCUGACGAACCUUGAUGUCAUUAAUUUGGUGUCUUGGGAAAUCAGGACUGUUACUUUGAAAAAAUUUAGAGUGUUUAAAGCAGGCUCACGCUUGAAUACAUUAGCAUGGGAUAAUGAAAUAGGACGUUUGAUUCUAUUUUGUUGGUUUCUAGGAUCGACGUAAUGAUUAAUAGGGAUAGUUGGGGGCAUUAGUAUUCAAUUGUCAGAGGUGAAAUUCUUGGAUUUAUUGAAGACUAACUACUGCGAAAGCAUUUGCCAAGGAUGUUUUCAUUAAUCAAGAACGAAAGUUAGGGGAUCGAAGACGAUCAGAUACCGUCGUAGUCUUAACCAUAAACUAUGCCGACUAGGGAUCGGAUGAUGUUAAUUUUUUAAUGACUCAUUCGGCGCCUUAC
rnacentral:rRNA from 1 species